rnacentral:rRNA from 1 species
UACGGAGGGUGCAAGCAUUGAUCGGAAUUACUGGGCGUAAAGGGCGCGUAGGCGGUAGAAUAAGUCAGAUGUGAAAUUCCGGGGCUCAACCCCGGAGCUGCAUUUGAAACUGUUCAGCUAGAGUUCAGUUAGGGUAAACGGAAUUCCACGUGUAGCGGUGAAAUGCGUAGAUAUGUGGAAGAACACCGGUGGUGAAGACGGUUUACUGGGCUGAUACUGACGCUGAGGCGCGAAAGCAUGGGGAGCAAACAGG